ensembl:piRNA 21ur-2686 ncRNA
UCCGGCAUUGAUCUGUGGAGG